rnacentral:snRNA from 1 species
AUACUUACCUGGCAGGGGACAUACCAUGAUCACAAAGGUGGAUUUCCCAGGGAAAGGUUUAUCCAUUGCACUCUUGAUGUGCUUACCCCUGUGAUUUCCCCAAAUGUGGGAAACUCGGCUACAUAAUUUGUAGUAAUGGGGGAACUACAUUUGUGCUCUCUCCUG